rnacentral:tRNA from 2 species
GGGCAUUUAGCUCAGUUGGUUAGAGCGCUACAUUGACAUUGUAGAGGUCACUGGUUCGAAUCCAGUAUUGCCCA